AACGGGGCUGACUCGAAAUCAGUUAGGGCUUCCGCCCCCGCGAGUUCGAAUCUCGCCGUCUCCGCCA
rnacentral:tRNA from 1 species